rnacentral:lncRNA from 12 species
UCACAGUGAAGACUCCUUCUGGGUACCCCCAAGAAAAUAGCUGAAGGAAGUUCCAGAUUCACAUCCAUUCUGAAAGAGCUCACUCCUUUCACCUGGUUACCAGGUUUA